rnacentral:rRNA from 1 species
AUGGACUCCCCGCAAAAGAAGCUCGGAUCCACCAUGGACGGCGAGAUGCCACAUCUGCUGCCUGUGACGACGGUGAGUGAGACCGUGCCCAAGGACACGCUGGCCCCUCCUCCGGAGGCUGUCGUGAUUGUCAGCGCUUACGAGUUCUACCCCGCCUUCGUCGUCCUCCUCUACUACGCCCUGCACUACGCCAUGAUCUCCGCACGGUCCAUCUUCUUCCUGCUGACGCACGCGGAGGCGGUGGCCGCAGAGGUGAGCGCCCUGGACAUCGGGAUCGUGUGCUGCGCCGUGCUCCAGGCGGCCGCGGCGGUGCUGGCUGUGCAGCUCCCGUGCCACCGCGUCUGGGUCAGCUACGCCUUCGCCUACCUCGCCCUCGCGCUCACCAUCGUCGGCCAGUGCAUGUUCAUCGACCCAGGGGACGCCAUCUUCAUCAGCGCUGUGGGCGACCUCAUGUGCUUCCUGGCCCUCCUCCUGGUAGGUGACAAGUAA